GCAUAUCGAUAAGCGGAGGGAAAAGAAACUAACCCAGGAUCCCCUUAGUAACUGCGAGUGAAGCGGGAUGAGCUCAAAUUUGAAAUCUGACGGUUCCGCCGUCCGAGUUGUAAUCUGGAGAAGUGCUUUCCGCGCUGGACCGUGUACAAGUCUCUUGGAAUAGAGCGUCAUAGAGGGUGAGAAUCCCGUCUUUGACACGGACUGCCAGGGCUAUGUGAUGCGCUCUCGAAGAGUCGAGUUGUUUGGGAAUGCAGCUCAAAACGGGUGGUAAAUUCCAUCUAAAGCUAAAUAUUGGCGAGAGACCGAUAGCGAACAAGUACCGUGAGGGAAAGAUGAAAAGCACUUUGGAAAGAGAGUGAAACAGUACGUGAAAUUGUUGAAAGGGAAACGCUUGAAGUCAGUCGCGUCUGCCGGAAUUCAGCCUUGCUUCUGCUUGGUGCACUUUCCGGUCUGACGGGUCAGCAUCGGUUUCUGGGCCGGACAAACGCGCGGGGAAGGUGGCACCUCCGGGUGUGUUAUAGCCCUGCGUUGCACAACGGCUCGAGGGACCGAGGAAAACCGGCUUACCCCGGGAUGCUGGCGUAAUGGCUUUAAGCGACCCGUCUUGAAACACGGACCAAGGAGUGCUACACGCUCGCGAGUAUUUGGGUGUCAAACCCUCAUGCGUAAUGAAAGUGAAAGUCGAUACCCUUUACUGGGACACCGACGCCCGAGCCUGAUGUUUUCGGAAGGCUUUGCGGUAGAGCGAGUGCGUUUGCGACCCGAAAGAUGGUGAACUAUUCCUGAGGAGGGCGAAGCCAGAGGAAACUCUGGUGGAGGCUCGUAGCGGUUCUGACGUGCAAAUCGAUCGCAGGACUUGGGUAUAGGGGCGAAAGACUAAUCGAACCAUCUAGUAGCUGGGUUCCUGCCGA
rnacentral:rRNA from 1 species